GACGAACGCUGGCGGCGUGCCUAACACAUGCAAGUCGAGCGAGUGGAUCUCCUUCGGGAGUGAAGCUAGCGGCGGACGGGUGAGUAACACGUGGGCAACCUGCCUCAUAGAGGGGAAUAGUCUUUCGAAAGGAAGAUUAAUACCGCAUAAGAUUGUAGCUUCGCAUGAAGUAGCAAUUAAAGGAGCAAUCCGCUAUGAGAUGGGCCCGCGGCGCAUUAGCUAGUUGGUGAGGUAACGGCUCACCAAGGCGACGAUGCGUAGCCGACCUGAGAGGGUGAUCGGCCACAUUGGGACUGAGACACGGCCAAGACUCCGACGGGAGGCAGCAGUGGGGAAUAUUGAACAAUGGGGGAAACCCUGAUGCAGCAACGCCGCGUGAGUGAUGACGGCCUUCGGGUUGAAAAGCUCUGUCUUCAGGGACGAUAAUGACGGUACCUGAGGAGGAAGCCACGGCUAACUACGUGCCAGCCGCCGCCGUAACAC
rnacentral:rRNA from 1 species